rnacentral:rRNA from 1 species
GAUGAACGCUGGCGGCGUGCCUAAUACAUGCAAGUCGAGCGAACAGACGAGGAGCUUGCUCCUCUGACGUUAGCGGCGGACGGGUGAGUAACACGUGGAUAACCUACCUAUAAGACUGGGAUAACUUCGGGAAACCGGAGCUCAUACCGGAUAAUAUAUUGAACCGCAUGGUUCAAUAGUGAAAGACGGUUUUGCUGUCACUUAUAGAUGGAUCCGCGCCGCAUUAGCUAGUUGGUAAGGUAACGGCUUACCAAGGCAACGAUGCGUAGCCGACCUGAGAGGGGGAUCGGCCACACGGGAACUGAAACACGGACCAGACGCCUACGAGAGGCAGCAGUAGGGAAUCGGACGCAGUGGGCGAAAGCCUUACGGAGCAACGCCGCGUGAGAUAUGAGGAUCUUCGGAUCGUAAAACUCUGUUAUUAGGGAAGAACAAAUGUGUAAGUAACAAUACACGUCUUGACGGUACCUAAUCAGAAAGCCACGGCUAACUACGUG